rnacentral:tRNA from 1 species
GCUGCCCUAACUCAGUCGGUAGAGUACCUCCUUGGUAAGGAGGAAGUCGGCGGUUCGAGUCCGCUGGGCAGCUCCA